AUUGAACGCUGGCGGCAGGCCUAACACAUGCAAGUCGAGCGGAUGAAGGGAGCUUGUUCCUGGUUUCAGCAGCGGACGGGUGAGUAAUGCCUAGGACUCUGCCAGGUAGUGGGGGAUAACGUCCGGAAAUGGGAACUAUUACCGAUUACGUCCUACGGCAGAAAGUGGGGGAUCUUCGGCCUUCACGCUAUCAGCUGAGCAUAGGUCGGAUUAGCUAGUUGGUGGGGUAAAGGCCUACCAAGGCGACGAUCCGUAGCUGGUCUGAGAGGAUGAUCAGUCACACUGGAACUGAGACACGGUCCAGACUCCUACGGGAGGCAGCAGUGGGGAAUAUUGGACAAUGGGCGAAAGCCUGAUCCAGCCAUGCCGCGUGUGUGAAGAAGGUCUUCGGAUUGUAAAGCACUUUAAGUGGGGAGGAAGGGCAGUAUGUUAAUACCUUGCUGUUUUGACGUUACCAACAGAAUAAGCACCGGCUAACUUCGUG
rnacentral:rRNA from 1 species